UGCUAAGUCAUUAUACUGUCAUUUUAAAUCAUCCCUCUUAGUAUUGAUUUACACCUGGCACAUAUAAGUUGACAGUUAAUGCAUAAAGAGUGUAGUUUCUAUAAUAUCAAAUAUGAGGUCUACACAAUUAAAUCAAAGAGUUCAGGUUUUGGCAAUCAGUAAACCAAAAGAGUGACCACUUGUUUAUAUGAAGAGUCAACACACACAAUGUGUAACCAUAUAUGGAGAUAGUUUUAGAUCUAUGCAUGACAAGAAAGUGAAAUCAAUGUUUUUAAGAUAAAAGCUUGAGGACAUAUAACAAAACUAUAACAAUGCUGAUUAUGAAAACCCCAUGACAUGUCACAUACAACUUUUGGAAUGCAGCAAUUUUCAGUAUGAGAACAAAGGCAAGGAUUAAAUUACUGUAAAAACUGACUCUGAAACAUUGAAGACAAAGAAAUAAAAGUUUUACAUCAGAGGAAAUGACUGUGCACUUCUUUCUUGAAGGAUCAACACACAAAAGGAAAAGUGCAUAUCUUUAUCCAUCACUUGCAGUAGUUGAGAUAAUUUUGGAUACACACAAAAAACUGUGAACUGAGUCAGAAUUAUAAUUUAAACAUCAUAUGUGGUACCUGCAUGUACUUACUGGUACACGUACAUAUAUUGUUACUUUGUAAUUCACAAUAUUUUACAUGAAUAUAGGAAUAUUCUUUGCAUGUUACAUGUGAAAUAAAAAAAGACAAGUAUAGGAAUAAAGAAUUAUCUAUUACAACAUUAUCAUAUGAAAACCAGUAGGAUGAUAUAUGCCUUCAUUUAUUAUGGAUCAUGGAAACCCACAAGAAAGUAUUGUACAUGUAUGGAUUGUAAUUAUCAGUUUUAAUUCAAUGUGACAUAUGCAAUGCUUUUUGUUUUAAUUUUCAGAAAACUAUUUGAAAUGAAUGAAAAAGUUAUCAUAAGUUUCUUUGACAUUGAAACUGUUGAAAUAGACAUAUAUGUAUUUAAUAGGCAGAUAAUACUCAUAAUGAACUCAAUGCUUUCACAUGCAUACAAUUUUAUUGAAUAAACAAAUAGUUUUAU